GAGUUCUGCGUCCGUAGGUGAACCUGCGGAAGGAUCAUUACAAGUGAGGCUAUCGACCGUUGGAAACGGCGGUUAGAAGCUUACACCCACCCGUGUUUACAUACUAUUGUUGCUUUGGCGGGCCGUGGCCUCCACUGCGGGCUCUGCUCGUGUGUGCCCGCCAGAGGACCAAAUUCUGAAUGUUAGUGAUGUCUGAGUACUAUUUAAUAGUUAAAACUUUCAACAACGGAUCUCUUGGUUCUCGCAUCGAUGAAGAACGCAGCGAAAUGCGAUAAGUAAUGUGAAUUGCAGAAUUCAGUGAAUCAUCGAGUCUUUGAACGCACAUUGCGCCCCCUGGUAUUCCGGGGGGCAUGCCUGUCCGAGCGUCAUUGCUGCCCUCAAGCCCGGCUUGUGUGUUGGGCCCUGUCCCCCUCUCCGGGGGACAGGCCCGAAAGGCAGCGGCGGCACCGAGUCCGGUCCUCGAGCGUAUGGGGCUUUGUCACCCGCUCUGUAGGCCCGGCCGGCGCCAGCCGACAACCCAUCAUCCUUUUCAGGUUGACCUCGGAUCAGGUAGGGAUACCCGCUGAACUUAA
rnacentral:rRNA from 1 species